rnacentral:misc_RNA from 1 species
AAGUCGUAACAAGGUAACCGUAGGUGAACCUGCGGUUGGAUCAUUAAAAAAUUUGAAGGCGCUCCUACAUAAUCCUUUGGAUUUACUGUAGUCGAACGUUCUUCUGUCUGAAAAGUCAACACUUUGUGCACUAGAAAUGUUUUUUGGGAGUUUAUGACUCCCAGCAUUAUAAACCAAUUUUUAUAUAUUAGUCUAAUAGUUUUUCAUAUAAUGAAAUAUAUAAAAACAACUUUUGACAACGGAUCUCUUGGCUCUC